rnacentral:rRNA from 1 species
UUACGAGGUCAGGACACUGUGAGGAUUGACAGAUUGAAAGCUCUUUCUUGAUUCAGUGGGUGGUGGUGCAUGGCCGUUCUUAGUUGGUGGAGUGAUUUGUCUGGUUAAUUCCGUUAACGAACGAGACCUUAACCUGCUAAAUAGUCACGCGAACCGGUCCGCAAGGGCUCAAAGUUCGCGGCUCGACUUCCUAGAGGGACUAUUCGCACCCGCCAGCGAAUGGAGGUUUGAGGCAAUAACAGGUCUGUGAUGCCCUUAGAUGUUCUCGGCCGCACGCGCGUUACACUGACGGAGUCAACGAGCGUUUUUCCUUGCCCGAUAGGGUUGGGUAACCUCCUGAAACUCCGUCGUGAUGGGGAUAGAUCAUUGCAAUUAUUGAUCUUGAACGAGGAAUUCCUAGUAGGCGCGAGUCAUCAACUCGCGCCGAUUACGUCCCUGCCCUUUGUACACACCGCCCGUCGCUCCUACCGAUUGAACGGUCCGGCGAGAACUCCGGAUGGUC